UUCAGCGUCUCAAUAACGUUUUGCCGUUCAUGUCCUUAGUAAACAUCGUCGUAUCUUCGCCAUAUUGUUCAUAUGUCUAUUCGUAGUUGAAUGUUAACUUUACGAAGCGUUUAAUGUAAGCUAGCUAGACCGUCAAAACAAACGAGUCACAAUGUUAAUGGCGGACAUCAUCGUGGCUGUCUCACUCGUGUGCAUUAACGCAGCACUACGGGAGUCACACAACGCUACUGUCACUGAGUUAAGAGUGAAUGCAAUGUCAGGUUGACUGUAACUAUAAUGUAAUGGUCCUACUUUAUAGACAUGCGGAGUGAUACGAAGGCAUGUGUGAUCAGAGGGGGGGCGUGUACAGUCGGCGGCCCGCUCUUGGAGUUACCCGAAUCCAGUCAGUCACGGUGUUAUGUAUGGUUAAGCUAAUAAAGAUACUUGGAGAUACAACGGGCUCAAAACCCUAUUAUUCCAUAACACUACAGUAACGAGGAAUAAUUCAACCACAACCGUAUGAUGGAGAACUUCUCGGCCACAGCGAAUGUGGUACAACGUUUUUUUAUUUUUUACUUGAACAUCAUUUCUUAUUUUGUGAUAUUUAAUGGAAAUGACAUCCAUUAUAACCAAUAGCAAGUUUGAAACUAAGCUCCCUGCCAACCUCCCUACAGACUAUUUAUGACUUCAAUCUAUCUAUCUAUCUAUAUCUUGGAUAAGCAUUUGUAAUCAUAUUUGUCUGUGAAAUCUUCCAUUAAACUGAUGGCUUUUUAGCCGUAAAAAUGCAUCUUGACGAGGAGUUAUUUGCAGUUUGACUAAUUGCUUUUGUUGUUUCUUUUGUAGGCUUUGAAAAACCUGGCAAUGAAUUGUAAGUAUUGCUUAUUUUCUUCUACACACUACUGCAUAACACAUGGAAGCGUUGCCAGAUUGAGUCCAUGUCUUCACACAGAGUGUCUCCUGUGACGACCAUGAAGGGCCGAUGAGGGGAGCUGAUGUAAUCUGUUCAAUCUAGAAGCCACUAGUUUUCUGCCCAGUGUGAUGUAGUAUGUUGUAAUGUGUUUACUGUAGGUCUAAUAUGACUAAAUAUUAAUUUAUUUCUCUUUCCGUUAGAUUCUGGCUGAGUUCUGUCGCUUAUCAAGCAAAAAUCUGAGUUGCGAUCAGAGUUCUUCAAAGAUCUCGACAAAUAUACUCCUCGCUUCCUGGAGAAGUUCAAAACCCAGAGGGGGAAAGUGUCGGACAGAAACUUGAAUAUCUGCAACAAGUCACAUCUGGGAGUACAGAUGUGACUGGGAGGUGAACAGCAGUCCUCCGUGGCUCUCCCAUCAUCCUUGGAGAUGACAACGCAGACUUCUUCAAGAAUUUGAGGUUCAGGAGCAGCCAAUAUGAUGCAGGUGUGACGGCUGACGAUGGUAGGUACCUGUUCAGCCUCCUGUGGUAGGAGCACAUUUCCCAGAAGCAGCAGUGACAAAGAAAUGUGGAUGUUUACCACGAAUAUGGUUGGUUGCCCACGUAUUAAACGUUGGUCUUUCUUUAUUGAAGGUGUGAGUUUAGGAUGGCAUGAAGCUUCGACUUGACCCUAUGGAAACACAGCAGAAGCCACGAACGGGUCCUGAUCGGGGACUCUGAUGACCUUCUGGACGUGUCCCACGCCUCCAUUGGGACCCUGACGGUGCUGAAGACAUCGUGGCCUCUCCUCACUCGCUGGACCUGGAGUCUACAACUACUGCCAUCGUUUUGGGAGGAACAGUCGUGAUGGGUGACCGUGAUCAUCUUCCCCGUGCCGUGUGGCUACUCUUCGGACUUAUUUACCCCUGAAUUUGGAGUAUCCUCAACGAGUGAGGAACACCUUCUGAAUUUAUUCAUAGAGUGCUUCUCACUUGGACCAAAAACCCUAAAAUACAAUCACUCAAAUAUCUACUGAUGCCAUAAGGGACUGUGUUCAUGAUGUGCAGUCAGGCCCGAGAACUUCACCCUUCUAUCUCCAAUUGAACUCUUUUCUAGAAAAUGUCUGUUUUUGUUGUUUUUCUGUCGUGAAAUUUAGCAAAUGCCGAAAACGCUGUGUUCAUCAUAUUUCUGCGUUACAAAACCUAAUCUGGCAACAUGUUCAGCGUUUUAAGCACGUUGUUUGAGUUUUAAAACAUGUGUUUUUCUUCUAAAUAAACGUUGUCUUCCAUUGUAA